rnacentral:rRNA from 1 species
AUUGAACGCUGGCGGCAGGCCUAACACAUGCAAGUCGAACGGUAGCACAGAGAGCUUGCUCUCGGGUGACGGGUGGCGGACGGGUGAGUAACGUCUGGGAAACUGCCCGAUGGAGGGGGAUAACUACUGGAAACGGUAGCUAAUACCGCAUAACGUCGCAAGACCAAAGUGGGGGACCUUCGGGCCUCACACCAUCGGAUGUGCCCAGAUGGGAUUAGCUAGUAGGUGGGGUAAUGGCUCACCUAGGCGACGAUCCCUAGCUGGUCUGAGAGGAUGACCAGCCACACUGGAACUGAGACACGGUGCAGACUCCUACGGGAGGCAGCAGUGGGGAAUAUUGCACAAUGGGCGCAAGCCUGAUGCAGCCAUGCCGCGUGUAUGAAGAAGGCCUUCGGGUUGUAAAGUACUUUCAGGGGGGAGGAAGGCGGUGAAGUUAAUAGCUUCACCGAUUGACGUUACCCGCAGAAGAAGCACCGGCUAACUCCGUGCCAGCCGCCGCGGUAA